rnacentral:lncRNA from 1 species
UGUUUGUAGAAGACCUUUUUUAGCUCGCAUGUGGCCGUGGGAAGGUCCUCGAAGCCCACGGACAUUCCAGGUAGCUAUCCUAAGCGUCAUCAUGACGCUCAGGGGCAAGAAAAACUUCCCCGACUGCAGCCCAGACGAACGGUUUGUAGAGCCUAAACCGUGAGUCCGGACUGGAGAUUUCAACUUCCACAAGUCGCACUUCUGGAACCCGCCGAGCCUGCUUGAUGGCAAACGUGUAGUCUCGCUUAUCCCAGCCAAAGUGCAGCUGCAGAAAGUCCUCGAUCUGGUCCUCGAGCACAUCAUACGUCUUGGGAAUAAACUGAGGAAACCACUUCUCCCCAUGAGGUGCUUCUCUGGCUAUCACGACCUGCCUUCCUGCGACACCUAUCUUCAUCUUGAUAACAUCUGGCGGUGGGGGAGGGGCAUUGCGGAUCACCGUCGGCCAUGCCCUACACUCCCGUUGUGAUCGCUGUGCUGGACCUCUCGCCUCUAGCCGGACAGGGGACGACCGAGUUGCCUCAGGGGAGUUAUGUUCAGCUGGUUGCGGAGAGCGGUGGCGUUUUCGGGUUGUAGGAGCUCGACGCUCUUGCAUGGAGUCCGAUGGUCGUAGGCUCGAAGACGAGUCAGGCCUCUUACGCUCGGGGUGGAUCUCACGGAGACUCGGAAGGCGCUGAGAUGACCUCUCUUCAGCUACCCGCUCCUCUCGUGGCUGGCACUCCCGCUGAGAACUUCGGGACUUCUCUUCACUGAGUGGACUGUAAUACCUGUAGGAUCGUGAGUGCUGUUCGGGGACAGGAGGCCGCUGCACUCGAUCCGGAUGCUGCUCUUCUGCGUCUUGAGAUCGCACCUUCGCCCGUUCUGAAUCGAGGCCUUUACCAGGCGGUGAUCUCCUGGUCCUGGGGUGUCGAGCAGGUUGCCAGUCUUGCUCCUGCUGUCGGGACAAUGAACAAUCAUCGCGCUGCACCCCUGGGUGAGCCGCUCUGUAGGUCGGAGGCUGACGCUUGAUGCUCAGGCACUCCUGCAUGCGGUGCCCAACCACAUGACAGUACCUACAAACCUGGCCUGCAUGGCUGCUCUCUAGCCGCAUUGUAUGUCCUUCGAUGGUAACUUGAAGGGGAAUGUGUGUGCCUUCCUCAACCCGCACAGAGAAGUGGACAUGGCCCUCCCUGGCAGUAUGUCCCUGGAUGUCGACAAGCUCACCGAACACCAAGGAAAGCUUACGAAUGACCGGUUCGCAGAAGUACUCGGAAGGCAUGUACAGGUGCACGGUGAACAUGGUGCG